GAAAGGCAUACUUUGAUGGGAUGGCUGGUAUUCCUCAUGGAUUUUGCCCCACCCCUCAAGUAGGAGCUAACAUCUGAGCCCAGUGGAAGCAGCAGUAGUAAGGGCAACAUGAUGUACAGGAGAUCAGACAAGCAUAUCCUAAGUACUGUGGGGAACAAGCCAGGCCAGAAAUGCUGUCAGCCUUUGAAUCAGCAGGACUACAAGUCCCAUACUACUCAAAUCUCAAGCCUAUCAAUUACUCCAGGACUGUGACUUUUCAACCUUUAAAGUAUAUUUCAGCAUACAAAAUGACCGUUGUCUCGGAUUUUUAUCACAUACACUGCCACUGAAGAAGGGGACACCCCGAAACGCAUUUGGCUUGUUAAGCAUCACCUGACCUCAUACCCCCCCACAAAUAGACUUUAUAUGGACUAUUUCCUCUAAUAUCCAUUCUCAACAGCUGCAAUACCCUAAUUUCUGGAGCACCCCAACAGCGCGCAUUUUCCUCAAUUCCAUCCACGAGGACGCCGCACUUUAAACACUUACCCCACCACCCCGUCACCUUUGGCCAGCUGCCUACCUGUGCCACUCCGUAGGACCAUCACCUGAGGACAUCAGGACACGACUACUGUCAUCUAUGCAGUUCUCCAACUAUGCCGGCCGCUGGUCCAUGCCAGACUGCCGGAACAUCGCGCGACCCUUGGAACGGAGUCAUUCACGGGUGUUUAUCCUCCAAUCUGGAAAGGCUGCCUGGUUACAAUGAUGUAAAAAGAGUAGAGAUGGCUAGAUGUUAAAAUGCAUCCAUGUACUACAUCAGCAGUACCAAUGAAUCUUGAAGACUUUACAGGAAAUAAUGCAGAACAACUAGU